rnacentral:rRNA from 1 species
UACAGAGGUCCCAAGCGUUUGUUCGGAUUCAUUGGGCGUAAAGGGUGCGUAGGCGGUGAGGUAAGUUGGAUGUGAAAUCCCAGGGCUCAACCCUGGAACUGCAUUCAAUACUGCCUUGCUAGAGUACUGGAGAGGAGAUUGGAAUUUACGGUGUAGCAGUGAAAUGCGUAGAUAUCGUAAGGAAGACCAGUGGCGAAGGCGAAUCUCUGGACAGUUACUGACACUGAGGCACGAAGGCCAGGGGAGCAAACGGG